UACGGAGGGUGCAAGCGUUAUCCGGAUUCACUGGGUUUAAAGGGCGCGUAGGCGGUCGAUCAAGUCAGGGGUGAAAUCCUGCAGCUUAACUGUAGAAGUGCCUUUGAUACUGGUCGUCUCGAGGGAGGUAGGGGUGUGUGGAACUUCCAGUGGAGCGGUGAAAUGCGUUGAUAUUGGAAGGAACGCCGGAGGCGAAAGCGACGCACUGGACCUCUUCUGACGCUGAGGCGCGAAAGCUAGGGGAGCAAACGGG
rnacentral:rRNA from 1 species